UUCCUACGGGAGGCAGCAGUGGGGGAUAUUGCACAAUGGGGGGAACCCUGAUGCAGCGACGCCGCGUGGGCGAUGGAGUGCUUCGGCAUGUAAAGCCCUAUCAGCAGGGAAGAAAAUGACGGUACCUGACUAAGAAGCCCCGGCUAAAUACGUGCCAGCAGCCGCGGUAAUACGUAUGGGGCAAGCGUUAUCCGGAUUUACUGGGUGUAAAGGGAGUGCAGGCGGCUUGGCAAGUCUGAUGUGAAAGGCUGGGGCUCAACCCCAGGACUGCAUUGGAAACUGUUAGGCUGGGGUGUCG
rnacentral:rRNA from 1 species